rnacentral:tRNA from 1 species
GCCUAGGUUGGCUCAGUGGUUAGAGCGUAGGUCUCGUAACCGAUUGGUUGCGGGAUCGAACCCCGCUAGAGGCU